CUGCUCCCCUGUCGUAGAGCCGUAUCGCUCACAGCUCCCAGGUCUCAACAGCUUGGGCCUAUUCCACCAUCACCGCAGUCAACACCACCUCUCCCUCCCACCCCUCGCCGCGGCCGGCCACCACCGCCGACUCAGCCAAGCAUCUCCACAAUUCCCCUGCCAAAACCCGCCGUCUCCGGCGGGCGCUUCUGGCCGACGACCCGAUGAAGUUGCUCACGCGGGUCCGUUACGGCGUCGCCGACUCCUCCCUCAUGGCUGGCCAGGACAAGGUGUGCUCGUUACAGGUACAACCGUACAAGAACGUCAUCACGCGGAGGCGGCAGCAGAGCAACGCCGGCACUGACAAGCCCUGACAAGCCGGGGUAGCCUCGGCGUGCCGAAUGCCGGGCCUCAUAUAUACCCGCAAAAAAUCUCCAGGUGUGAUGGGCAAGAGCGAGCGAUCGUCAUUCUCUGAUGCACAAGUUUGUGCUUCAGCAGUUGGCCCCUUUUCUUCUGGAUGCCGGCAAGCCAUGUCGAUUUGAUGUCAUGUGAGCCGAGUUCUGAAGUAGUGGAGCUGAGGCAUGGCCCAACAUCGUCUGUUAGGAAGCAGCAGUCUGGAAGGUGUUUCGCUUCAGGUUCAUUGACAAGUAUGGUCCAUGCCUUAACGUAUUGGAGGCUAACAUGAGGACUAACAACAUCGGCGGCAACCCCUUCAUCAAACUUGUGAAGCACAAAAGCGCGACAGUCAUCAAUGCCUAAACUAGGAAGGGCUUACAUUUUGAUUCCUGGAAGUGAAGGCUCUGCUCCUGGAGGGACUCGACUCCUAGGAUGAUGCAGCUGCCCAGGCCAAGCGGCCUUGAGAAGGCCAAUGAAUCUUGUGUAUGGAUUAAGAAAGGUGGUGAAAGAUCUGCGUUUUUGCGUUGCUGGAAGUGCUAUCAUCAAAACAGUGGUAGUAGUGGUGUGUUCGUAGGAGGUCACCUCUUUGUGAUUUGGGAGAUCUCAACUGAAUAUUCUCUCUCGGUUGGUGUGUUGCUCAGUAAUUGGGGAUUGACCGUUUCGAAUUGUGAUUCCGGGUGGAAGGUUUUCUAUUGCUGGUCGUAUCUAUGAUGCUGUUUAAUUCGA